rnacentral:rRNA from 1 species
UGCAGUUAAAAAGCUCGUAGUUGGAUUUCUGUGGGGACGGAGCGGCCGGCCGCACAUCGCGGUUCGAGCUAGCGCUUUCCCUACAUCCUGCCGCGAACCGUGCUACCAUUAGUUUGGUGGCGCUGGGGAUCGGCUCGAUUACUUUGAGAAAAAUAGAGUGUUCAAAGCAGGCCACACGCCUUGAAUAAGUUAGCAUGGAAUAAUAACUAAGGACUUCGGUUCUAUUUUGUUGGUGUUCGGGACUGAAGUAAUGAUUGAUAGGGACAGUUGGGGCGGUCAGUAUUCCAAAGCGAGAGGUGAAAUUCUUAGACCUUCGGAAGACUAACAGCUGCGAAAGCGUUCCGCAAGGAUGUUCCCUUUGAU